rnacentral:rRNA from 1 species
AGUGAACGCUGGCGGCGUGCCUAAUACAUGCAAGUCGAACGGAGUGGCGCACGGGUGAGUAAUAUAUAGCUAAUCUGCCCCUUGCUGGAGGACAACAGUUAGAACUGAAUGCUAAUACGCAAUAGAAAGGGAUGAGCCUAUAUCGUAUCAGCUAGUCGGUGGGGUAACGGCCUACCGAGGCGAUGACGCGUAACUGGUCUGAGAGGAUGAUCAGUCGAAUUCGACGUGAGGCACGGGCCAAAAUCCUACGGGAAGCAGCAGUAGGGAAUAGUGUGCAAUGGGGGAGACUCUGACGCGGCAACGCCGCGUGGAGGAUGUCACUUUGCGGAGCGUACACUCCUUUUGUUAUCGAAGCGGUACCGAACGAAUAAGCACCGGCUAACUCCGUGCCAGCAGCCGCGGUAAUUC